UUAAAGUAUUUCAUCAGUUGGACCUACCAAAUCUCAAGUCAGGAUUUGGCCAUCUCUGCUCUUGCCAUUCCACCUCUCACGACUCUAUCCUCAAAACCUGGGCUUGGCUGGGAACAAGAGCUUUAAAUCAGACUCUUUUAGGUUUUCCUAAUAAGACUGCUGCAAAUAAGGAUUGAGCCCUAGCUGAAGGCCUCAUCCUUCCAUGCCCUUUGCUUGUCCACCCAUCAACAAGCCAGGAUGAGGAGAAGCAAAGACAGCAGCAUUUACCCACAGAACCCUUUGUUGGCAGGAGCAAAAAUUGAUAGUGGAACACAUGAGGGCAGUUCCACAAGAUCCGUGCAUGAAGAGUCAGAUUUAUCAAGAAAAAUAUUAUUCUUUCGUGAACAAGAAAGAAAACAAGACAAUUUAAAAACAUCUAGAUUAAAGAUGAGCAUGUCAAUUUCAGGUGUAAGUGGCCUCGCAGGAAUGAAAGGCUGUGCUGUCUGUAUACCACUGCACUGUUGCCUCCCUGGAGAACUUUAUGCCUUACCCUGGAAGCACCCUAUCUUCAAAGCAGGGGUGUUUGAAAAUUCAUUCCCAUAACAGUGUGGAGCACAUCGAGAAAGACUGUAUUGAAACUUCCAGAUAGAACUUAUGAGGACCCAGACCCAGCAGUGGCUGUGAGGAUGAAGAGGCAAUGGGAUCUGGGACCUCAGAUAGAUCCAAGAAAUAUGCAGCAGUGGGGAUCAACGGCCUUGUAUAGAUCCUUGAUGUUAGAAGGAAAAGUGAGAUGAAUGA
rnacentral:lncRNA from 1 species